ensembl:lncRNA
GGGCAUGUCAAUCUUAACUUUUCAACAAAUGAACUUAGAGCUUGCUACGACCCUCAUGAUCCCACCCUCCACCACCUGCCUUGUGGUAAUUUUCCCGCCCAGUCCAGAUCGUCAGAGACACCAUUUUGAGUGGCUGCUUUCCUGAUCGCUCUCCUGCCCUUCCCAUUUCGAGGCUUCUCCAGGCACCAAGCUCCCUGUCAACUGCCAACGGUCUCCAGCGAGUGGCCGCCAUCUUCGCCGCUGGUGGCACCGUAGCCUUAGCGCAGGCCCUUUGAGGCACUGGCUGGUGUCAUGUCUGCCUCAGGGAAUGAGGACCCGACCCCAAAUGACCCGGAUAGCCCGCGCAUCUACUAUAAGAACCACGUCCUGAUCCACCCCUACUGGAACGCCCUCAUGCUGCAGCCCCGCCCUCCCCGCUCCGCCUCCCACCUCGGCCCCGGCCCAGACCCUGACCCCGGCCCCAGCGAGCUGCCGGUGCUCCACAUGCUCCCCUGGCCCAGGGGCGUGGCGCCGCGCCAGGACGAGGGCCAGGACGAGGACGAGGGCCAACCAGAGGCGGUGGUCUCCAUCCCCGACCUCGAGGAGGGCGACCCCACCGCUGUGCUGGCCUUGACCUCAGAGGAACCAUUGAAGGAGACAGCAAAGAGCAGAGAGCAGAUGGCGGACUCCAAGGGUAAAGAAUGGAUGGAAGUAAGUGAAAAUCUGUUGGAAAACCGGAGAGAUGAUGACGAAGAUGUUGGAGGUGAGGAAGAGAAAGAAGCAAAGGAAGAAAGUGAAAAGGAAAACAAAAAUCAACAAGAACCUGAAAAGGACCCAGACCCAGCAGGUGGUAGCCUGGGAAAAGCCAGUACUUCAGAAGACUAGAAAGAAAAGGAUGAAGAAAGAAUCCGACGUGUCACUCUUUUUCGGUUUUUCAGUGUUUAGCUCAAGGGAAUCUCAUUAACUUCAGCAUUAACUUCAUUCCAAAGUUUAUCAUCCCAAUAUGAUGCCUGACUUUUCUCUUUAUGUGUUACAGAUUCACUGAUAGGAUUUGUUCAAGUUAAAAAUAAGUUUGUUUUAAAUGGCAAAGUGGAACUAUAGGCAGAUCUUUUUGAAAAUAACAUUCAAAUCCGUUUUACCUUUUCUAUCUUCAUUUGAAAUGAAUAACUUUCCAACACUUGGUAAACUUAUUUUAAAUUCUUUUAUUGCAGCAUAGUUAAUUAGAGUGUGAAGUUUAAAUUUUUUUCUAAGGAGAGAGAUGGAUGUCAAGCCUUUCUUUAAAACUAAAUUAUAUGUCAUUUAGCCAUGUAUGGCUACUGAGCAUGUAAAAUGUGACUAGUCUGAUUUGAAAUAUGCUGUGUGAAAAACUAUCUUAAUAACUAAUUGCAUAUUGAUAAUAGGUUAAAUAAAAUGCAGUAUAAA